AGCGAACGCUGGCGGCAGGCCUAACACAUGCAAGUCGAACGAACUCUCCGGAGUUAGUGGCGGACGGGUGUGUCACACGUGGGAACGGUCCUUUUGGUUCGGAAUAACUCUGGGAAACGUGUGCUAAUACCGAAUGUGCCCUUCUGGGGAAAGAUUUAUCGCGAUUGGAGCGGCCCGCGUCUGAUUAGCUAGUUGGUGUGGUAACGGCUCACCAAGGCGACGAUCAGUAGCUGGUCUGAGAGGAUGGCCAGCCACACUGAGACUAAGACACGGCCGAGACUCCUACGGGAGGGGGCAGUGGGGGAUCUUGCGAAAUGGGCGAAAGGAUGACGGAGCCAUGCCGGGUGAAUGAUGAAGGUCGUAGGAUUGAAAAGUUCUUUCACCGGGGACGAUAAUGACGGUACCCAAAGAAGAAGCCCCGGCUAACUUCGUG
rnacentral:rRNA from 1 species